AGUCCACAGCAGACCCAGAAUCUGCAGGGCUCCCCGGUGCGGAUCUCUGCAGUCUUGUUUCCUUCUUUUGUCCUUGGUCACCGUUGUGGAGUUAAGUUGCGAGCUGAGGCAACCAAAACGCACCUCCCUCGCACACCCUCCCUGGACUGUCUAGACACCACUUUCCACCUAGAAGGAAAGGGCAAUUGGGAUGGCUGUCACUACAAACGCCAUCUUUCACGUGGGCGGAACUCGUCUCUGCUUGACGCGCCGCGGUUCCCUCGUGGGACUCCGUUAACCACGGAACUGGACAGUUCUUCACUCCUUGGUGACUCAGUGUCCACAGUGCUAGCUUUCUGUGGGGGCUUAAAGGAGGGAAUGGAGAGAGUGGCCAGUGUGACCCUAGGAAAAUCAAUGAAGCUAGAAAAGAUCAUCCUGAGUGAGACAGGCACCUAAGCAUAACUGUUAUCUGAGAGACUCCACGAGCAACUGAUGGAAAUAGAUGCAGAGACCCACAGCCAAACAUUAUGUGGAGCUUGGGCAACUCUACAUACAGAAGAGGGGAGGGAAGAAUUGAAGGAGACAGAGGUUGUCAAGGACACCACAAGAAAACCUACAGAAUCAACUAACCUGGGCGCAUAGGGACUCACAAAGACUGAACCACCAGAGAGCAUGCAUG
ensembl:processed_transcript Gm12367 predicted gene 12367